rnacentral:rRNA from 1 species
AAAGCUCAAAUUUAAAAUCUGAUAGUCUUUUGACUGUCCGAGUUGUAAUCUAAAGAAGUGUUACCUGUGCUGGACCAUGUACAAGUCUUCUGGAAUGGGGCAUCAUAGAGGGUGAGAAUCCCGUCUUUGACAUGGACUACCAGUGCGUUAUGGUAUGCUCUCAACGAGUCGAGUUGUUUGGGAAUGCAGCUCAAAAUGGGUGGUAAAUGCCAUCUAAAGCUAAAUAUUGGCGAGAGACCGAUAGUGAA